rnacentral:rRNA from 1 species
AUUGAACGCUGGCAGGCUUAACACAUGCAAGUCGAGCGGAGCGAGGGUGCUUGCACCUUAGCUUAGCGGCGGACGGGUGAGUAAUGCUUAGGAAUCUGCCUAUUAGUGGGGGACAACAUUCCGAAAGGAAUGCUAAUACCGCAUACGCCCUACGGGGGAAAGCAGGGGAUCUUCGGACCUUGCGCUAAUAGAUGAGCCUAAGUCGGAUUAGCUAGUUGGUGGGGUAAUGGCCUACCAAGGCGACGAUCUGUAGCGGGUCUGAGAGGAUGAUCCGCCACACUGGGACUGAGACACGGCCCAGACUCCUACGGGAGGCAGCAGUGGGGAAUAUUGGACAAUGGGCGGAAGCCUGAUCCAGCCAUGCCGCGUGUGUGAAGAAGGCCUUUUGGUUGUAAAGCACUUUAAGCGAGGAGGAGGCUACUUAGAUUAAUACUCUGGGAUAGUGGACGCUACUCGCAGAAUAAGCACCGGCUAACUCUGUGCCAGCCGCCGCAGUAA